GCCGGGGCGCGCGAGGGG
rnacentral:miRNA from 1 species